GGAGUCUGGUCCGUGUCUCAGUACCAGUGUGGGGGACCUUCCUCUCAGAACCCCUAAGGAUCGAUGGCACGGUGGGCCGUUACCCCGCCGUCUACCUAAUCCCACGCAUCCCCAUCCAUGACCGAUGAAUCUUUGCUGCAAUUCUGAUGCCAUCGUCGCAGAACAUCAGGUAUUAGGCUCCCUUUCGGAAGGUUAUCCCUGAGUCAUGGGCAGGUUGGAUACGCGUUACUCACCCGUGCGCCGGUCGCCAUCAACAAAAGCAAGCUUUCGUCAUGAUGCCCCUCGACUUGCAUGUGUUAAGCCUGUAGCUAGCGUUCAUC
rnacentral:rRNA from 1 species